UCAUAGUAUGUGAGGAUGGCAUCAUUUCACAUUAAAGUCACAACGGCAAAAAGAUGAGCAUGCGUCCCAUUAGCUAGAUGGUAAGGUAACGGCUUACCAUGGCUACGAUAGGUAGGGGGUCCUGAGAGGGAGAUCCCCCCACACUGGUACUGAGACACGGACCAGACUCCUACGGGAGGCAGCAGUGAGGAAUAUUGGACAAUGGGCGCAAGCCUGAUCCAGCCAUGCCGCGUGCAGGAAGAAGCAUCUAUGGUGUGUAAACUGCUUUUGUACGGGAAGAAACACUCCUACGUGUAGGAGCUUGACGGUACCGUAAGAAUAAGGAUCGGCUAACUCCGUG
rnacentral:rRNA from 1 species